rnacentral:rRNA from 1 species
UACGUAGGGGGCGAGCGUUGUCCGAAGUUACUGGGCGUAAAGAGCGCGUAGGCGGGUUUUAAGUGAGUGGUGAAAGGUUCAGGGCUUAACCCGGACACUGCCUUUCAUACUGGAAACCUUGAGUGCGGGAGAGGCGAGUGGAAUGGUCGGUGUAGCGGUGAAAUGCGUAGAUAUCGAUCGGAACACCCAUGGCGAAGGCAGCUCGCUGGCCUGCAACUGACGCUGAGGCGCGAAAGCGUGGGGAGCAAACAGG